UGGGGAAUAUUGCACAAUGGGCGCAAGCCUGAUGCAGCGACGCCGCGUGAGGGAUGACGGCCUUCGGGUUGUAAACCUCUUUCAGUACAGAACAAGGCCUUCGGGUUGAGGGUAUGUGCAGAAGAAGCGCCGGCUAACUACGUGCCAGCAGCCGCGGUAAUACGUAGGGCGCGAGCGUUGUCCGGAAUUAUUGGGCGUAAAGAGCUCGUAGGCGGUUUGUCGCGUCUGCCGUGAAAUCCUCUGGCUUAACUGGGGGCGUGCGGUGGGUACGGGCAGACUGGAGUGCGGUGGGGGAGACUGGAAUUCCUGGUGUAGCGGUGGAAUGCGCAGAUAUCAGGAGAAACACCGGUGGCGAAGGCGGGUCUCUGGGCCGUUACUGACGCUGAGGAGCGAAAGCAUGGGGAGCGAACAG
rnacentral:rRNA from 1 species